rnacentral:tRNA from 1 species
UCCAGGGUAGCCUAGUGGACAUGGCAUCUGCCCGGUAAGCGGAAGAUCGUGGGUUCGAUUCCCAUCCCUGGAC